rnacentral:rRNA from 1 species
CCUACGUGAGGCAGCAGUAAGGGAUAUUGGUCAAUGGGGGAAACCCUGAACCAGCAACGCCGCGUGAGGGAAGACGGUUUUCGGAUUGUAAACCUCUGUUCUCUGUGAAGAUGAUGACGGUAGCAGAGGAGGAAGCUCCGGCUAACUACGUGCCAGCAGCCGCGGUAACACGUCGGGAGCAAGCGUUGUCCGGAUUUACUGGGGGUAAUGGGUGCGUAGGCGGCUUGGCAAGUCAGUAGUGAAAUCCAUGGGCUUAACCCAUGAACUGCUUUUGAGACUGUCGGGUUUGAGUGUAGUAGAGGUAGGCGGAAUGCACGGUGUAGCGGUGAAAUGCGUAGAGAUCGGAAGGAACACCAGUGGCGAAGGCAGCCUACUGGGCUUUAUCUGACGCUGAGGCACGAAAGCGUGGGUAGCAAACAGGAUUAGAUACCCUUGUAGUC